rnacentral:misc_RNA from 1 species
AUGAAUUGGCCCUUGUGGCCUUAUUCAAUCCCACACCUUUGUGAACUGUCUUGGUUACUUUGGCGGGGUCGCAAUCCAAUUGCGCCCGAAUUAGGGACUCCCCGCCAAGGUUUUUUGCAAACUUAUGUUUAAAAAAGUUAGAAAGUUUAUAUUCAAUCUAUA